rnacentral:rRNA from 1 species
UGGCGACGGGUGAGUACACGUGGGCAAUCUGCCCUGCACUCUGGGACAAGCCCUGGAAACGGGGUCUAAUACCGGAUAACACUGCGGAUCGCAUGGUCUGCGGUUGAAAGCUCCGGCGGUGCAGGAUGAGCCCGCGGCCUAUCAGCUUGUUGGUGGGGUGAUGGCCUACCAAGGCGACGACGGGUAGCCGGCCUGAGAGGGCGACCGGCCACACUGGGACUGAGACACGGCCCAGACUCCUACGGGAGGCAGCAGUGGGGAAUAUUGCACAAUGGGCGAAAGCCUGAUGCAGCGACGCCGCGUGAGGGAUGACGGCCUUCGGGUUGUAAACCUCUUUCAGCAGGGAAGAAGCGAAAGUGACGGUACCUGCAGAAGAAGCGCCGGCUAACUACGUGCCAGCACCGGGGGUAAAUACG